rnacentral:lncRNA from 1 species
CAAAACAACAAAGAUACGCAUACCAACCCCCAAACUACUUCAAUAACCCGACCCAUACACGAAUCAAUUCGAGCAACCCCAAAACCACGUCGAACGCAUCAACAAUACAUCCUAGAUGACAACAACGAAUAACCGUAUCAACAACAGAAACAACUUCAACGUGACCCAAAUCCGUGUCUAACUCGUGAAUUAACCCGGUGCAUCUUUGAGGGAAAUUCUAGAAUCUCGACACCUCACUGGCCAGUAUGGAUUGUACGAAUUCGUACGAUUCUAAUUUAUUUCAUAUAUUAUCUUUUUGUUCAAGCCAAAAAUUAUGAAAUUAUCAUCGAUUUACCUUUGUCCCGAUGAGGUGGAAGCAUAAAGUGUGACCCUCUUCUCCUCCUAUAAAAGGGUCACGGUGGAUCUUGAAUGAACCAAGUCUUGAAGGCUAGAAAAAUCUCUCAAGCAAAGUACUUUUAUUUUUAGUACAAAUUUUAGUGAUAGUCGUCGAUUAAUCGAAGUUCUCGAAUUGACGGCUAUGCUUUUCGGUGGUGGUCGAGCUUCUGUGGUAGGCUCGAGUCUCAUUUUGCUGCUCCGUAACAGGUAAUAACUUCGUUCCUUUUAGUCUUAGGUAUUUUUCGAUGAUAUUUAGCUUCUUAGUUUUAUAAUCCCGUCGUUAGUAGUCGUAGUGUGCUGGGAAUUAUUUGCUGUAGAUGGGUGUGAGGGCCAUAGGAUUCUGAAGUAGUUGAUUUGUCGAUUCGUUACGUUGAGCUAACAGUGUUGUUUUGGAUUAGCUGUAAAGUAUUAGCCUAUUUUCUACCAUUAUUUAUUUAGCUUUGUACAGGAGGAUUAACGAUAUGUUUUGCUAAAAAUCUCUUUUUUUAAUGUUCACUGGUAUUAAGUGUUUGAAUUUUGCAACUUUUCUUUUUGUAGAAUAUUUGAUUAAUCAAAACAUAAGAUCUUAUCCAGUCUUCACGAUUUUUCCCUCCAACCGUUUAUAUACUCUCCUUUCUCAGUUUCUUCUGAAUGCUUUCUAUUGCUUCCUAUUUGAUAUUUAGGUGUGAAUUUAAUUCAUGUUUCUUUGUUAUCUUAAUGUUUAUUUUGUUAUAGCAUGUGUAUUAAUUUCAUUUAUCUUUCCCUCCAUAUCUCAUAACAGGCCAAUGCGGCCUAUCCAUUUGAGUCGGCUAUAUUGUGAGACAGAAGGAUCUACCAUAAGAACAAGGAGAAAUGGGUCAAAACUCCAUUGUUGACUUGAAAAGUCUCGGGUUUCACUAUUAUUGUUUUUUUCUUUCUUUAUGUACCUAUUUAUUUAUUUAGACCUUGAAAUCAAAAGUUGUAA